ACCGCCAUUAAACCUGAAAGAAGAAAGGGAAGUUAUGGUAGAUACAAAGGUUAACACUUCUCAAACAUCUGCGAUAUGUAAUUUAUUCAGGUUUCAAGUGCCCUCAGUGCCUCUGCUGGACUGUUAGAUACUGUAGAGGAGGCGCGGGAACACUGCAGCAGCUCUUUUACUGGCUGUGCUCUUCCUGGUGUCCCACAAUGCUGUCUGAACAAACCUCAGCUUGUCGGCAAGAUCAGUCUGUGCUUUAGCAGUGGUGCUUUGGCCGCCCUUCGCUGAUUUGAUCCAGUUCCAUCUGAUUGGGUUUGUCCGGGCUGUCUUCUCUUUUUGGUCCAACAGAAACGCUUCAUUUAGUAGCCAUGGUGUCCAGACCUGGAGACCUUCCAGCCCUGGAAGCAGGUCCAGGUGCUUCAGAGGGACUCCUCGGAGGGAUGUCCAUCCCUGUCGGGAUGACCCGUCGAGCUCUCAGCUAUGACGAUAAUCUUGAGCGCCCUAUGUCUCCACCUCCAACCGACAUUAAUAUUAACAACCUGUGGAGGCGACCUGUUAUACCUGAGAGGAAGUUUGCACGACUUGCUGAGGUGCGUGUAUAUUGCUUAUUCUGUG